rnacentral:rRNA from 1 species
AGAGUUUGAUCAUGGCUCAGGACGAACGCUGGCGGCGCGCCUAAAACAUGCAAGUCGAACGAGAAGCCCGGGCUUGCCCGGGUGGACAGUGGCGAACGGGUGAGUAACACGUGAGGAACCUGCCCCGAAGACCGGGACAACACCGGGAAACCGGUGCUAAUACCGGAUACCUUCACCGGAUCGCAUGGUCUGGUGAAGAAAUGGAUUCCGCUUCGGGAUGGCCUCGCGGCCUAUCAGCUAGUUGGUGAGGUAACGGCUCACCAAGGCAACGACGGGUAGCUGGUCUGAGAGGAUGUCCAGCCACACUGGGACUGAGACACGGCCCAGACUCCUACGGGAGGCAGCAGUUAGGAAUCUUGCGCAAUGGACGAAAGUCUGACGCAGCGACGCCGCGUGCGGGAUGAAGGCCUUCGGGUUGUAAACCGCUUUCAGCAGGGGACGAAAUUGACGGUACCUGCAGAAUGAAGCCCCUGCCAACUACGUGCCAGCAGCCGCGGUA